rnacentral:rRNA from 1 species
AGAGAUGUGUGAUGACGCAUUCAAUAAGCGGAGGAAAAGAAACUAACAAGGAUUCCCUUAGUAACGGCGAGUGAAGCGGGAAGAGCUCAAAUUUGAAAUCUUCAAGGUUCUACCUUGACGAAUUGUAGUUUAUAGAAGUGUUUUCUGUUAGUAGAGUGGCAAAAGUUCUUUGGAAUAGGACAUCAUAGAGGGUGAGAAUCCCGUAUUUGGUCAUUCUUUCUAGCUUUGUGAUACACUUUCAACGAGUCGGAUUGUUUGGGAAUGCAGUCCAAAAUGGGUGGUAAAUUUCAUCUAAAGCUAAAUAUUGGCGAGAGACCGAUAGCGAACAAGUACCUGUGAGGGAAAGAUGAAAAGAACUUUGAAAAGAGAGUUAAACAGUACGUGAAAUUGUCAAAAGGGAAGCGUUUGACACCAGUGUUGUUUUUCCGAAAAUCAAUUACGAAUGUUUUGUUUUUGAGAAGUUAUGACUUCAUCGGCUUGCUUCUUUCUUUACGAAACUUUCUUAAUGCACUUUUCGGUUAACAAGUCAACAUCAAUUUCUUUUGUUGUAAAAGGGUACGAGGAAGGUGGCUUUCUUUUCGGAGAAAGUGUUUAUAGCCUUGUACCUCUGCAAUCGGAGAGAUUGAGGUCUGCAGCGUAGAUCCUUCGGGGUUAGAUACAUUUGUGCUAAGUUAUAGCUUUUCAUAGACAACUUGUUGACUAUGUUAAGUCUUGUAGCUUACUCGCUUAUGCUAUUUUACCUACGCUUAGGAUGUUGACGAUCAGCUGAGCGC